ensembl:lncRNA
AUUGUACUUGUUAUUAAUCUCUGUCUCUCUUCCACAGCAUGUCUUUAUCCUGUUUUCCUUCUCUCACCCCAACCGGUUGCAGCAGAUGGCCGCCCCUCCCUGAGCCCGGUUCUGCUGGAGGUUUCUUCCUGUUAAAAGGGAGUUUUUCCUUCCCACUGUCACCAAAGUGCUUGCUCAUAGGGGGUCAUAUGAUUGUUGGUUUUUUUCUCUGUAUCUAUUAUUGUACGAUCUACUAUACAAUAUAAAGCGCCUUGAGGCGACUGUAGUUGUGAUUUGGCGCUAUAUAAAUAAAAUUGAAUUGAAUUGAAUGGGUGAGUGUGAGAUCAUUUCACAUUUGCCAUUUCUUUCUUUAUUUUUCUUUUCUUUUUAUGUGUGUGCAAACAUUUCUGGGUUUUUUUUUAUUUCUUGGGAUUCGGUAUCUUUGGAAGAGUUUAUCUCUGUAUGUGUGCAAAUGUAUGUGGAUUCAUUUAAUCCUGCAAUCCUGAGAUUUAAGGUUGGAUCAAGCUCAAUGCAGGCACACCGAAUGGGCCACGCAUGAUCAGGAAACAUGUGGAAACAUUUCCGUGUUUGGAUUGCUUGGAAUUUUGUUCCGGUGGUUUCUUUAGCCGUUUCUAUCUCUGUAUGUGUGGAAAUCUUUGUGCAUUCCCGUGUUCCUGCUUUGAGAUCUAAGGUUGGCUGAAUUGGUUGCUCUCUGUGGACAAUCACAUUUGUGCACAAACAUUUCUGUGCUUGGAUUUUUAGGAAUUUUGGAUUGGUAAUCAGUUUACCAAUCCAGAUGUGUACAGAAGUAUGUGCAUUCAUGUGUACAUGUGUGGAGAUCUGAGGCUGGUUUCUAGGGUGGACCUCUGCACAUAAUCAUAUGUGUGUGCAAACAUUUCUGUGUUUGGAUUGAUUGAAAAUUGGGUCUGUUGGUUUCUUUGUUAGCAGUUAUCUCUGGUUGUGUGCAAAUGUGUGCAUGCGUUAUUUCAUUAUUUAAUUAAUAAAAUUAAAUUCAUUUUGCACUCGUGGCUCUCCUUAGCCUGGUUUCCCCUUUUGGCAAUAACCUCUUUGGCUUUGGAGAAAACCCUUUCACGUGGUACUGAAGAGGCAGAAGUGCACAAGUACCCCACAGUAGGCUUAUGUUAGGCUAAAAUAUAUGCACCUCCACCCACGGAUCCGUUCCACUUUAUGUAUGUCCAGAAAUCACACCAACACUCACUUUCUGAACUAGCGAGGCUUCAGACGUCAUCACCGACGUCACUCACCCAUAAAGGUGCAAGCAACACACGAUUCCUGAAAUACUUCCUGGACUUCUCAACACACCCUCCGAAACCUUCCCUUUUUUUCCCAGCACAUAUCAUUUUUAUGUCAAGUACGCAUUUUUAACGCAGCAUUUUUUUUAUUAUUAAUAUUAUUAUUAUCAUUAUUGUUUUUUUUUUUUUUUACAGUUUCACUUAAAAUCGCUGUUAGGCUAAAUGAAUGUUUUAUUCUGAAAUUCGGCCCGGAAGUCCGUUCGCCUGUGGCAAAGUGAAACAAGAGCAUAUCGGGGUCUUGGGAAAAAGGGCUGCUUUGCUAAGGUAUGUGUUACUGCGUUUGACUUGCGUGUUACUAGUAUGUUAUGUGUGUGUUUAACGUGAACGGCGAUCUUCGGCACUGUGAAAAUCCGCCUCCGCGUUUUGAGGUUUGAGUUGGUUUCUUGUCCCUCUCGAACGUGAGCUGAGGUACGACACCCAGGUGUUGACGAGCUUUUUGGAAACAAAUGUGCUAAUUAGCGGUCUAAGACUUGUCCUUGGUUACAAAGCCUUUCUUGCUGUUCUCUAACAAAAUGGUGUCUGUGUAACAGGAACACCGGGCUCGGUCUCUUUCACGGGCGAGUUUUAUCUCGGUGUGCGUUUCAGCGAACGUCAUGUUAGAUUUUUCACACCGGGACCUUUUUUUUUUUUUUUUUUAUAAACAUGGCUGUUCAAGUCCUUUGCCAGGAAGUAUACAUCUGGUAUCAUCAGCAUGGGCCAGAGAGAAACUGUGGGUACGCUGGGAAAGGAAGUCCAAUUAACGCUUAGAUGUCGCACACAUAACAAGAUUCCACAGAAUCAGUGUCUUUCAUUCCUACAUCUCCACCACCGUGGGAAACACCAAAGGACCUCGUGGAUAAGAUUGUAGACUGGUACAAGGCUGGACUGGGCUACGAGACCAUGAGCAAGAAGCUUGUCAAUCACCUGAAGGAAGCUGGAGCCACAGUUAACAAAAACAUACCUGAUCAUGGAUCUCCUCAGCAGUUUGGAAAUCUACAUCCCUGCGGAGGCUGAGGUGAAAAACAUCCCUUUGUUGACCUUGCCAAAGUCUGUACUCAGAAGAAUGGGCCUCCCUCUACUGAAUGCCUCCAGGAAUCUUGCAGACUCUCCAGAAGGCAUAUGGAUUUCUCCAGCAGUUAUACGGAAGAAAGGCCAGAGACACACAGGAAGUGCAAUAGAUAACAUGACCUCCGUGCUGGGGAAAGAGUUGCGCGCUUCAAGGGGUCCUUUUCGAAUGUCUUUUGUUUCCUCGAACCGUGCAGCUCACGAGGUGCUGAAGGGCACCGUUCCCAAGGCACCUCUAUGUCAAACCUCUCAAUUCCCUUCGGACUCUGCCCCGCGAACCGGUCGAGAUGCUGUCGUCAUCUACCGUGGGCAAGUUUACUUGUCCAUCAGAAUGCCUAGUCGUAGCCAUAGUCAGCGUGGGAAACAGAUGACUUCUCAGCCUGUCACUCCUUCAACGUCCCACUUGUCUUCAAAGAAAAGGAAAAAGACGAUGCCAAGCGACAACAAGCCCAAGAAAAAGCACAACAUAUGUAAAGUAAUGCAUACAGAAAACAAGAAGGAUGACGCACACAGGACAAGAGAUGUUCACUUUCUGCCAAAACCCACUGAGAGUGAGUGUGAAGUGGGCAGCCAGUGUCCUGCAGAUUCUAGAGGAGAGCCGCUCUCAGAGGCCCCCCUGAAGGCAGCUUGCUUUCAGCCUCACAGGGAGCCAGAGGAGGAUCUGGCUGCCGAGGAAGCAGACGGCCCCGGUGAGAACAAUGACAGAGGUGGUAGUCUACAGAUGGACAUCAGGGAAGUUGACCAAAGUAGCAGGGGCAGGGUGGAGCCCCUGGGUGCAGCUGCCGCCUCCACAUCACUGCAGAUGGACUGUGACUUUAACGAGUUGGCACAGGAGGAGAAGAUCGCUCAAAUGAGAGCCAAACUUAGACAGAGCGAAGCUGCUCUAAACCUGCUUUCUUAAAGUGACCUCACAUUUGUUAGCCUUUUUGUACUGAAUGUUUAGAAUAGACUUUUAUACAUUUGUCUUCUGUGAACACAUGCACAUUAAUAAAAGUGGUGUCGAUGGGCUUAUGUGUUUGGUGAUCCUUUUUGUUUUAUUUAGGCGUCCAAAAACAGAUGUUGUACUAAUGUGGUGUUCUCUUCUCAUUAGGUGCAGUUUAUAGCAAGGUCUUCAAUGUUUGGAUGUUUUUGAUGUGUUAGUUCAUUUCCUUUUGAUAAAACCUCAAACCAUAGCAGCGUAUGGUUUGAUUAUUUCAAGCUGUAGUUUGGUCCCAUUUACAAAGUGAACCAAAUAGUUCUUUGUUAAAAUACUUCUUUUUUCCAGAAUAUAUAAUGUGUUUUUCCUGGUUCAGUAACUAAGACUGUUUUUGUCUUUCUUUCUUAUUUUUUUUAUUUUUUUUUUUAAUCAAGCAUACCAAAUCACACUUUUGUUUUUGUUUAGUAUGAUAGUUUCCCUGAUCACCUUGAAACACCUCCACAGGUCAUGAGUUGGUCUUAUGUUUGUUGAAAGUGCUCCAAACCAUAAACAAUAAAUAUGACUAAUCUUUGUGCAUAUGUUUCAUAAUGAGACUUUUAAUACUAAGACCUGUAAAAAAUCAUUAUUAUUGCUGUUAUUAUUAUUAUUAUUAUUAUUGUUAUUAUUUGGUGACCUAGUGCUGAAAUGGUUGUGGUGUGACUGUUGUCCUUUCUACUCUGCUUUCUCACUCCUUAAAUUAUUUUUCAUAUGCAGGUCUUACACUCUGAGCCUGACAUUUCUUCUGUCAGUGUGGAACAAGAAAGUCAGGACUUUGAAUUGUGACAUAGUGACUGUGCUCACACUCACCUCUCUGCUUUGGUCCCUGAAUGAUUCAAAAUGUUUAGCAUGGACUCAUCUAGUGUUUAAGGUUUUCAUUUCUGUGUUUGAAAUUCAUUUCUAUAGAUGUAUAUCUGAUUGGAAAAUAUGUUUGCAUUAAAAGCAUUCUGUAUGGGG